UGAACAUUAUAUUGGGAACAGCAAAGGGACUGGCCUACCUUCACGAGGGUCUUGAACCAAAGGUCGUCCACCGUGAUGUAAAAUCCAGCAAUAUACUACUUGAUCGCCAGUGGAAUGCUAAGGUUUCUGAUUUUGGACUUGCUAAGCUCAUAUGCUCUGAGAGGAGUUAUGUAACAACACGAGUGAUGGGAACAUUCGGUUAUGUUGCACCAGAAUAUGCUUGCACUGGAAUGCUGAAUGAGAAGAGUGAUGUAUAUAGCUUUGGCAUACUUAUAAUGGAGUUAAUUUCUGGGAGAAGCCCAGUUGAUUAUAGUCGAGCACAAGGAGAGGUGAAUUUGGUGGAUUGGUUAAAAGCCAUGGUCGGAAACCGAAAAUCUGAAGAAGUAGUUGAUCCUAAGUUGCCUGAGAUGCCCGCUUCCAAAGCUCUAAAACGUGUUCUCCUGGUUGCUCUUAGAUGUGUUGAUCCUGAUGCAACAAAGAGGCCCAAAAUGGGGCAUGUGAUCCACAUGCUUGAGGCAGAUGACUUAUUAUUUAGUGAUGAACGCCGAAUUGGGAGAGAAUCUUCCCAUUCACACCGUUGUGAGCAAGAGAAUCACGCUGUUGCAAAAUUAGGUGAUAAACGAUUGGGCUAAGGCACUUCAGACGUUAAUGAAGGUGAUAGCAAUAGGAAUCUUUCUGAACAAAAUAGAUGGAGAUAACUUCACUGGAGGAUUAGGUGAUUAACUUAUUUAAAUCUCUCCAAGAUAUUGGACUUCCCUUUUUCCUUUCCCCUUAUUUCUUUUUUUUUUUUUCCUUUUCUUUUUAUAUUUUUUCUCUUGUGGC
rnacentral:misc_RNA from 1 species